rnacentral:rRNA from 1 species
UACGAAGGGGGCUAGCGUUGCUCGGAAUUACUGGGCGUAAAGGGCGCGUAGGCGGACAGUUUAGUCAGAGGUGAAAGCCCAGGGCUCAACCUUGGAAUAGCCUUUGAUACUGGCUGUCUUGAGUUCGGGAGAGGUGAGUGGAAUGCCGAGUGUAGAGGUGAAAUUCGUAGAUAUUCGGCGGAACACCAGUGGCGAAGGCGACUCACUGGCACGAUACUGACGCUGAGGCGCGAAAGCGUGGGGAGCAAACAGG